ACCAUGGUGAUGUUAGCAUCAUGGCAGAGUGAGCUGUGCCCUUAGUCUCUUCCCCCUAAGCUACAAGCAAACGGACAUUCAUUAAUCAACAGAGGAUUCUGUACAAAGCACAAUAGGACGUCUGAGAG